rnacentral:antisense_RNA from 1 species
UAAAAAAUUUUAAGGUAUCUUUGAGGAAAAGAAAAACACUUACAUAACCAAAAAUGUAUUCUUUUUUUGGUUUGUUACGGAAAAGCUGGAGUAAAGAUUUGAAUUGCAUUCCAUAGAUUUUAUUUUUUGCGUACUUUCUUUGAAAAUGAUGCUGAGCUGACACAGGUUCAUGAGGUGGCCCAGAUUUAUAUGGAUUACAAAUGGAGAUGGGAUGAGUUAGGAAGAGAAACCUGAUAGGUCAUUCUUGAGCCAUCCAGGGAUCUUUUCAAAAUCUCCAUAUAAAGGGCUUAAUUGGAGAAAGAAAGGGAGGGAAAUGAUCUUCAAAUAUAUUAGAAAAAAUAGUUUUGAUUGAAUAUAAAGAACUUAGGGCACUAAAACUUGUUAGUAGAAAGAGUGUCAAGAAGAUUGCGGUAUCAUCUCUGGAAAUAUUUCAAGUAUUAGGUAUUCUUGGAGAGUUUGGUAUAACCCUGUUAUCAAAUAAAAGAUUGCAUCAGUGAGUGGA